rnacentral:rRNA from 1 species
CUACGUGGCCAUCCCACCCUAAACGUGUCUGAGCUCGGAAGCUAAGCAGGGCCAGGCCUGGGGAGUACUUGGAAGGGAACAAGGGUCUUGACCGGGACUCUUGGUUGGCUUUUUGG